GACGAACGCUGGCGGCGCGCCUAGCACAUGCAAGUCGAACGAGCGAGAGAGAGCUUGCUUUCUCGAGCGAGUGGCGAACGGGUGAGUAACGCGUGAGGAACCUGCCUCAAAGAGGGGGACAACAGUUGGAAACGACUGCUAAUACCGCAUAAGCCCACAGGUCGGCAUCGACCAGAGGGAAAAGGAGUGAUCCGCUUUGAGAUGGCCUCGCGUCCGAUUAGCUAGUUGGUGAGGUAACGGCCCACCAAGGCAACGAUCGGUAGCCGGACUGAGAGGUUGAACGGCCACAUUGGGACUGAGACACGGCCCAGACUCCUACGGGAGGCAGCAGUGGGGAAUAUUGCACAAUGGGGGAAACCCUGAUGCAGCGACGCCGCGUGGAGGAAGAAGGUCUUCGGAUUGUAAACUCCUGUUGUUGAGGAAGAUAAUGACGGUACUCAACAAGGAAGUGACGGCUAACUACGUGCCAGCAGCCGCGGUAAAACGUAGGUCACAAGCGUUGUCCGGAAUUACUGGGUGUAAAGGGAGCGCAGGCGGGAAGACAAGUUGGAAGUGAAAUCUAUGGGCUCAACCCAUAAACUGCUUUCAAAACUGUUUUUCUUGAGUAGUGCAGAGGUAGGCGGAAUUCCCGGUGUAGCGGUGGAAUGCGUAGAUAUCGGGAGGAACACCAGUGGCGAAGGCGGCCUACUGGGCACCAACUGACGCUGAGGCUCGAAAGUGUGGGUAGCAAACAGG
rnacentral:rRNA from 1 species